rnacentral:rRNA from 1 species
UGGGGAAUCUUCCGCAAUGGACGAAAGUCUGACGGAGCAACGCCGCGUGAGUGAUGAAGGUCUUCGGAUUGUAAAGCUCUGUUAAUCGGGACGAAAGAGCCUAGUGUGAAUAAUGCUAGGAAGUGACGGUACCGGAAUAGAAAGCCACGGCUAACUACGUGCCAGCAGCCGCGGUAAUACGUAGGUGGCAAGCGUUGUCCGGAAUUAUUGGGCGUAAAGCGCGCGCAGGCGGAUCUGCCAGUCUGUCUUAAAAGUUCGGGGCUUAACCCCGUGAUGGGAUGGAAACUACAGAUCUAGAGUAUCGGAGAGGAAAGUGGAAUUCCUAGUGUAGCGGUGAAAUGCGUAGAUAUUAGGAAGAACACCAGUGGCGAAGGCGACUUUCUGGACGAAAACUGACGCUGAGGCGCGAAAGCCAGGGGAGCGAACGG